GGGUUCAGUAUCUCGCUCAAGGACACUUCGACAUGCAGCUGAGCACUGCCCGGAGCUGGGAAUGAACCAGUGACCUUCCAAUCACUAGUCGACCUGCUCUACCUGCUGAGCUACAGCCACCCACCACCUUGGUCCUAUAUUCUUCAAUACUGUGAGGAUCAACCCAUGACCAUCGACACCAUGGUGCCACAGAUGAGGCAGCUGCACUGGCUUAACUGUCAAUCGACGAUAACUGUCAGUCGAUUAUGGAGUCAUCACUGCUGGAUCACAUAGAGACAUGUGCUUCCCUCUCACUGCAAAGGCUUCUCCAUAACUAAGCAUAAGGUAGGCCAUUAAGGGUUUAUUUUUUGAACAAAUAUGCUUGUGUGUGCUUUAUCUAACAGUUUUUGUAGCUUUUGACUUUAAAGUUACAGUUGGGAGUGUAUUUUGAAUGAAGAUCUUUCUUCAGGUUCUUCAGGUCCUCCAUUGUGAUCCAGCCACUGCACAGCUGAGACCUCCAGACUACUCAGAGAGCUAAACAUGCAUAAGACAUUCAACCCUUCAGAACUUCUCUGUGUCAGGUGACUCUAGAGGGAAAAUGGGGUUCUGCCCUGCAGCAGUGUUCAAGGGUGAACUCCAUUCCCCUGACUCUCAACGCCUCUGUGUCGGCAACGCUUUCCUCAUGCCAAACAUGACCAGAUAAUAGGGAGCAGCAGUUCUUCCAGCAACUGAACAUAUCAAAGGUCUUGACCUCAGAUCCAUCUAAAUCUGUUGACAGCUGUGGUUUGUGGCAGCAAUGAACAGAUUGAACAAACAGCAUCAUGACAGAAUCACUACUGAAGAUUACACUACUGAACCAAAUCUGAAAUAUAGGACACGAGUUUCGUCUGUUUUGUUAAUUAUUUGUCUUAUAUGAUUCAUUGAACAUUUUUUUUAUUUUUCAUUUCAUGAAAAUGUAUGUUUGUUUUUUUUGUUUUUUUUUUUCAUUUCAUCCUUUCCAUCUUUAUCUGUUGGCUAUCCAACAGAGGACACAGAUAAAGGUGGAAAUCAUUUCCAUUAUGCCACAUGCAUCUGAACUUGCUACUCUGUAGGGUCAGCUAUUUAAAAAAUAGUAAUCAUUAGUGUGGGGUUUCAGCUGGUAGGUAUAGUAAAGGUUUUUCACCAUUGUAUACUUAGCCUUGGGCUAGUGUAACCCUCUGAAAAGCAGUUUUGGAUAAGCCCAGUACUGAGACUAUACACUGAAGCUCAGGGUCUGGUCUUUAGAACGUCCCAAACACAUGGCUUGGAUAUGAGCCUUGUCACGUGAUUUGAUUGGGAAACAAACCUGGAGACCUGAGGUCACAAAAGUGAUGUUAACUUUAAAAAGUAAAGGUUAACUGAGUUCUGAGUCAGUCCAGGGCUACUGGAGCUUGAAGCCAUAAACUACUGGGGCUAAUUAGCCUAAGUCUAACUACAAUCUGAAAACUUUUCAUGGUAGGGCUGAACAAUAUCUGAAAUCACUAAUAUUACAGUAUCAUCAGGCAUGUACAUGGUGUCAUUGCUCAAUCCUGUCACCCAAUAUUUACCCAUCACUCUCUGUAUCCCUCUUUAAAAAAGGAACAAAUAGCAAACAAACAAACAAAAUAAUUUUAUUUGAACCCAAAAACAAACAACAACUACUACUGAUUGUAAUAAUAUAUAUUUUGUUGAGCCCUGCCUUAGGAAGUAUUUUGAAAACCAGUAUUUUGAUUUGAAAGGGACUGCUUUCAUGUAUUUUCUAUAUAUUUUUCUCAUAUUUGUGUCUUAGUAUUUUGUUUUAUUGCUUUUUCUUCUAUUUAUUUCCGAAUAGGAAACGUAAUGAUAAUCACAUUUUUUAAAAUCUAAUUUCAUUUGAAGUUGUGUUUGUGUCUCUGAACUAAAUAGUGGGCAAGGAGGAGUCAAACAGUUCAUGGAGAUUCACCCAAACCCAGUUUACUAAAAAACUUACAGUCUAUUAACAUUUGUUAUGCCAAAGUUUGCUGAAUGGGUUUUAAAAAAUCUCUUCCCUUUGCACAUCAGUUGUCAGUGCAAUUGCCACCAGCAUGGUGACGAAACAUUUCUUUGUGGUCUUUCCAAGGCACAGAGCUUUUUAUUUAUUUAUUUACUAAUUACUUGCUAGAGGCACAGUGGAUUUUGGUUUUGCAAUGCCUGCUUUCAUGUAUUGUCUUUUGUCUUAUAAAUUGUUCGUUGGUUCGUGUUUGACAUAAACAGAAAAUAUAUUCAAUUAAUUUAAAUAAUCAACCAAUCCCACAAAUUACAGAAAAUGUCCUAAAUUACACUUAAGACUCAAAUUAGUUAGCUGAACAUUGUCUUCAGGCCACUUGAGUUAUGUUCAUAUCAUUUAAUGUCAUCAAAGUGAAUUCAAUCCAAUCAUUAACUUUUUAAUCCUACUAAGAUAUUCAUAGGCAAACUUCAAUCACAUUUUCACAAUGUAUUAUAAUGUAUAUAAACUAGUUUCCACAUCUGAUCAAGUAUCCACUUUUGAUUCAUGAUUUAUCAUCAAAUAGUCUGUGUAGUAAUUAUUGUGCAAUGAAGUCGAAACACUCACAUGAAUAGAUUUGAAAUUGUUUUGUAAAUGUUUUGAAAUAUGUUCUGAUUUCUAUUUGUGUAUCUCAUCAGGCUUGUUUGUAUAUUAUGCUGUGGAUUUGACUUCUACUGCUUUAUUACUGCAGAUACUUCAAUUAAAUCUUGAAAUGUUCUAAUUACUGUGUGAAUUACAAACUGACACAAAUAACCCUAAUCCUGACAAAAUAAUAAUCAGAUAAAAGACAAUUAAAAUUUAUUUGUAAUGAAG